AGGGAUUUAGGAUAAGACUAAACCAUGGGCCUUCAAAGCCCCCAAUAGGAGUGAAAAUCUCCUAAUCCCUG
rnacentral:tRNA from 1 species